rnacentral:rRNA from 1 species
UGGGGUGGUUCGCCGCCCCCGACGUCGCGAGAAGUCCAUUGAACCUUAUCAUUUAGAGGAAGGAGAAGUCGUAACAAGGUUUCCGUAGGUGAACCUGCGGAAGGAUCAUU